UACGUAGGGUCCGAGCGUUGUCCGGAAUUACUGGGCGUAAAGAGCUCGUAGGUGGUUUGUCGCGUUGUUCGUGAAAACUCACAGCUUAACUGUGGGCGUGCGGGCGAUACGGGCAGACUGGAGUACUGCAGGGGAGACUGGAAUUCCUGGUGUAGCGGUGGAAUGCGCAGAUAUCAGGAAGAACACCCGUGGCGAAGGCGGCUCUCUGGGACGGUACUGACGCUGAGACGCGAAAGCGUGGGGAGCGAACAGG
rnacentral:rRNA from 1 species